rnacentral:misc_RNA from 1 species
GGAGCAAACUGAAGCCAUAUAAGAGAUCCAUGAAGAAUAAUUUACAAUGCCAGAUUACAAUUGCAUGGAUGUUAACCAUGUGAACCACAGAAUGACACAAAACAAACCUAAUUAAUAUUAACCAAACCAACACAUACAAAGACUUGAAACUGGAGUCGACAAACAAAUUCUAUCAAUGACAAUGAACAGGAGUUCCUGAGCCUGUAGAUGAUUCUUGAAUAGCCUUCACUCCCAGAUUUAACGAGAUAUCAUGUGAAAGGUAGCCAAUCAGAGGAAGCCCUCCUUGGAUUAAAAGGACACAUCAACUUUGAGAACAAUAACUCCUUUUAGAUCUUGUCAAGUUUUUCUGCCUUCACAACAGGAUUGGCCUUUGCAAUAGCAUUGCGUGCAGCAGAGCGGUAGUCAAAUUGACAGUCAUGUUUAUCUGAGUAGCGG